AGAGGACGGAAAAGAAGACCUAGUCUCAUCAGAUGAGGGUUCUUCUCUAGCUGCUCGCACAAAGUCAAAUUCUACAGCCAAGCUUGACUUUGACUUGAAUGAAGGGAUACCUGGGGAUGAUUGCCAUCAGUCUGAGCCAGCUGUCUCACCUGUUAUAUGUUCCUCAGCGAUCCAUUUACCUGGUCUUUCGCCAUUCACUUCACCUGUUACAAGUGGGCUGCAGCCGGCUCCAAUAACAGUAGCUGCUCCAGCUAAAGGACCCUUUGUUCCCCCUGAUAACCUACUAAGAGCGAAGCCUGAGAUUGGGUGGAAAGGUUCAGCAGCUACAAGUGCAUUUCGUCCUGCUGAACCGA
rnacentral:lncRNA from 1 species